rnacentral:rRNA from 1 species
GACGUAGGGCGCAAGCGUUGUCCGGAUUUAUUGGGCGUAAAGAGCUCGUAGGCGGCUUGUUGCGUCGACCGUGAAAACCCGUGGCUUAACUGCGGGCUUGCGGUCGAUACGGGCGGGCUGGAGUUCGGUAGGGGGAGACUGGAAUUCCUGGUGUAGCGGUGAAAUGCGCAGAUAUCAGGAGGAACACCGGUGGCGAAGGCGGGUCUCUGGGGCCGAUACUGACGUGAGGAGCGAAAAGCGUGGGGGAGCGAACAGG